UAGAGUUUGAUUCUGGCUCAGAUUGAACGCUGGCGGCAUGCCUUACACAUGCAAGUCGAACGGCAGCAUAGGAGCUUGCUCCUGAUGGCGAGUGGCGAACGGGUGAGUAAUAUAUCGGAACGUGCCCUAGAGUGGGGGAUAACUAGUCGAAAGACUAGCUAAUACCGCAUACGAUCUACGGAUGAAAGUGGGGGAUCGCAAGACCUCAUGCUCCUGGAGCGGCCGAUAUCUGAUUAGCUAGUUGGUGGGGUAAAAGCCUACCAAGGCAACGAUCAGUAGCUGGUCUGAGAGGACGACCAGCCACACUGGGACUGAGACACGGCCCAGACUCCUACGGGAGGCAGCAGUGGGGAAUUUUGGACAAUGGGCGAAAGCCUGAUCCAGCAAUGCCGCGUGAGUGAUGAAGGCCCUAGGGUUGUAAAGCUCUUCUACCCGGGAAGAUAAUGACUGUACCGGGAGAAUAAGCCCCGGCUAACCCCGUGCCAGCAGCCGCGGUAAU
rnacentral:rRNA from 1 species